UACAGAGGGGGCAAGCGUUAUUCGGAAUUAUUGGGCGUAAAGGGCGCGUAGGCGGCUUGGCAAGUGGAUGGUGAAAUCCCUCGGCUUAACCGAGGAACUGCCGUCCAAACUGCUUUGCUUGAGACCGGGAGAGGUGAGUGGAAUUCCCAGUGUAGCGAUGAAAUGCGUAGAUAUUGGGAGGAACACCAGUGGCGAAGGCGGCUCACUGGACCGGUACUGACGCUGAUGCGCGAAAGCGUGGGUAGCAAACAGG
rnacentral:rRNA from 1 species